GGCCAGAUAGCUCAGGUGGUUGAGCACCUGACCGAAGUUUCAGGGGGGCAGCCCGGGUUCGAAUCCCGGUCUGGUCC